rnacentral:rRNA from 1 species
UCGCACGAGAAAGCCCGGUUCGCCGGGCGAGUAAAGUGGCGCACGGGUGAGUAACGCGUGGAUAAUCUACCUCGUUCUGGGGGAUAACCCAUCGAAAGGUGGGCUAAUACCGCAUAAUCCGGCUGAAUUUUGGUUUGGUCGGCAAAGGUGGCCUCUUCAUGAAAGCUACCGGGAAGAGAUGAGUCCGCGUCCCAUUAGCUUGUUGGUAGGGUAACGGCCUACCAAGGCGACGAUGGGUAGCUGGUCUGAGAGGACGAUCAGCCACACUGGAACUGGUACACGGUCCAGACUCCUACGGGAGGCAGCAGUGAGGAAUAUUGCGCAAUGGGGGAAACCCUGACGCAGCGAUGCCGCGUGAGUGAAGAAGGCCUUCGGGUCGUAAAGCUCUGUCAAGUGGGAAGAAAUGUCUUAGGGCUAAUAUCCUUGAGGCUUGACGGUACCACUGAAGGAAGCACCGGCUAACUCCGUGCCAGCAGCCGCGGUAAGACGGAGGGUGCAAGCGUUAUUCGGAUUUAUUGGGCGUAAAGAGAGUGUAGGCGGCCGGUCAAGUCAGAUGUGAAAGCCCAGGGCUUAACCCUGGAAGUGCAUUUGAAACUGGUUGGCUUGAGUUCGGGAGAGGGAAGUGGAAUUCCGGGUGUAGAGGUGAAAUUCGUAGAUAUCCGGAGGAACACCGGUGGCGAAGGCGACUUCCUGGACCG